rnacentral:rRNA from 1 species
CGCUGGCGGCAGGCCUAACACAUGCAAGUCGAGCGGCAGCGGGAAAGUAGCUUGCUACUUUUGCCGGCGAGCGGCGGACGGGUGAGUAAUGCCUGGGGAUCUGCCCAGUCGAGGGGGAUAACAGUUGGAAACGACUGCUAAUACCGCAURCGCCCUACGGGGGAAAGGAGGGGACCUUCGGGCCUUUCGCGAUUGGAUGAACCCAGGUGGGAUGUUGGUGGGGUAAUGGCUCACCAAGGCGACGGCUCACCAAGGCUGGUCUGAGAGGAUGAUCAGCCACACUGGAACGACACGGUCCAGACUCCUACGGGAGGCAGCAGUGGGGAAUAUUGCACAAUGGGGGAAACCCUGAUGCAGCCAUGCCGCGUGUGUGAAGAAGGCCUUCGGGUUGUAAAGCACUUUCAGCGAGGAGGAAAGGUUGRCAGCUAAUAUCUGUCAGCUGUGACGUUACUCGCAGAAGAAGCAGCUAACUCCGUGCCAGCAGCCGCGAUACGGAGGGUGCAAGCGUUAAUCGGAAUUACUGGGCGUAAAGCGCACGCAGGCGGUUGGAUAAGUUAGAUGUGAAAGCCCCGGGCUCAACCUGGGAAUUGCAUUUAAAACUGUUCAGCUAGAGUCUUGUAGAGGGGGGUAGAAUUCCAGGUGUAGCGGUGAAAUGCGUAGAGAUCUGGAGGAAUACCGGUGGCGAAGGCGGCCCCCUGGACAAAGACUGACGCUCAGGUGCGAAAGCGUGGGGAGCAAACAUUAGAUACCCUGGUAGUCCACGCCGUAAACGAUGUCGAUUUGGAGGCUGUGUCCUUGAGACGUUAAAUCGACCGCCUGGGCUUCCGGAGCUAACGCGUUAAAUCGACCUGAUGGGGAGUACGGCCGCAAGGUUAAAACUCAAAUGAAUUGACGGGGGCCCGCACAAGCGGUGGAGCAUGUGGUUUAAUUCGAUGCAACGCGAAGAACCUUACCUGGCCUUGACAUGUCUGGAAUCCUGYAGAGAURCGGGAGUGCCUUCGGGAAUCAGAACACAGGUGCUGCAUGGCUGUCGUCAGCUCGUGUCGUGAGAUGUUGGGUUAACAGCACGUCCCGCAACGAGCGCAACCCCUGUCCUUUGUUGCCAGCACGUAAUGGUGGGAACUCAAGGGAGACUGCCGGUGAUAAACCGGAGGAAGGUGGGGAUGACGUCAAGUCAUCAUGGCCCUUACGGCCAGGGCUACACACGUGCUACAAUGGCGCGUACAGAGGGCUGCAAGCUAGCGAUAGURAGCGAAUCCCAAAAAGCGCGUCGUAGUCCGGAUCGGAGUCUGCAACUCGACUCCGUGAAGUCGGAAUCGCUAGUAAUCGCAAAUCAGAAUGUUGCGGUGAAUACGUUCCCGGGCC